AGUGUUUGCAGCCAAGCAGCUGCUUCACGUGUAUGUUUCCUCUUAUCCUGUUCUGUUUCAAAACACAUGUUGAUCUGUAAACAAAGGUACCGUAUUGUAGUUUGAACUGUGUAGCUAGCUACAUGUUCGUCUAGACUCUAGCCUAUGAAGGUGCAGUGGUCCAGUAAUAUGCAUAAUAUCUGGCUACGGCUUGGAAAUCAAGGACUUCAGGUGUUCGACACAGAGUUGAGUGCCGACACAAUGGAGUACCCCAUUCCACAACAUACUGGCAUGUGGAACAUCUGUACAGAAGGGACCAGAUGCGGUAAAACCGUAGAUAGGCUGGACAAUAGAACGAGUCACAAUCCACCCAAGGCUGAAAACGGACAAAUAACGUUGGUUAAGAUGAAACACAAGCGCGAGCCCAUAGCACAUGAAUGGAAUCGAACUUCCGCAGAGCCUCUUCUGACUGGAGUGAUGCUUAGAUUUCUAUUUCGCAUAAAUGGUACACAUUUUUUUUAGUCCAUUUUUACUUUCCCACCACAAUGUGUUCUUCGGGACGAAACUGAAAAAAAAAAAACUGGUGUAGAAAGUAAACAUCUUCACCUCGAUGUUGUCAACUGUGCUUAUGUCCGUGUAAUGAGAACUUCUGACUAUUUCUGGUCUAUGACAACCGAGCUCACUGCCCAGACUUACAUAAUUACAAAUAGGAGACUCAUCUGAUUGAAAUAGUGUCCGACUUGAAACAAAUCUAAAUAUACACAUUGUGAGAUAUUUGGGGAAAUAGACAGGCAUGCCACUCCAUAGGAAAACAAUGGGUUGAGCUCAGCAUUAAAAGGGUAAAACGUGUUUUGGGGCUACCAUUUGAUGACAACUGAGCUCGCUGCCCACCCUUACAUAAUUAGAAAGAGGAGAUUCUCAUGAUUAAAAUGGUUUCCGACUUGAAUAAAAUCUAAAUAUACACAUUGCUAAACAGACAUACCUAUAUUUCCACUAUAGGAAACAAUAGAAUGACCUCAGAGUACCAUGAGUCAUUUUUUGCAGUUGUUUACAUUUGAACUCUGCAGCAAUGUGGGCGGGUCUUAUUCCCAACAACAGGGAAGCAGGCAUUGUGACGUAGAACAUUUGGCAGGGAAUAGAACGUUCAGAAGGUGAGUUUGUGCCAAGGUGCUCAAUAGAACUAAUAGGAGCUGGCAGGGUGAAAAAUGUCCUUAAAAUAAGGCCUGGGUUUUUUUGUGAUUACUUCAAAACUACGACAAGCAAAUAUGAAAUAUGAAGUAGUUUUUAUCAGAAAAAAGCAUUAUUAAAAAUGUCAUGGGUCCAGCCUUCUGUAGACCAGGGCUCUCCAACCCUGUUCCUGGGGAGCUGUAGGUUUUCACUCCAACCAAAGUUGUAACUAACCUGAUUCAUCAUCCAUCCAGCUAAUUAUUAUAAUCAAUUACGCUCUACAGGGGUUUUUCCAGAAAGAUAGUUUAACCAAUUCAGGAUUCCCUGAACAUAUCUGUCUUUCCUUACCCAGAUGAGGGAGUCUAGGAUUUCUUGGUUCCAGAUUGGCUGCUUCUCGUUUAAGUAAUUGGGCUAACCAAGCGCAUAUUGGUUGAUCUGACAACUGGCGCAUGUAUGCAACGUUCAAAAAGGUCCUUGUGUCAAUGACAGAAAAAAUGUCAGAUAUUGAGUCAAAAGACUAGAAUCCACAACAAGAAAUAAUUUUGACAAUGAAUAUGUUAACAUAUUUACCCCCCAAAAAGUAAUACAGCAGCAAAAGCCAGAGAGGUAGCCUGGCAGAACAUUGCAAACAGAAUAAAUGUUUAAGUGAAGUGGCAGGAUUCCAAUAUCAAAUAGACCUAGCAUACACACAUGGGUGAUUUAUUAAUCAUUCUUUCACUUUUUAUAGAGCAUGUUUAUUACAAAUCUGGUGUCACAGUUGCAAUGGUAGACACAUUCCAAAGCCUAUGUAGGAUGAGUAAUAAUAAUUGAUUGAAUUCAUAGACCGCUUUUCAUGACAACAUGGGCAACAAUGUGUUCUAUGUUUAGUUUUAACACCAAUGACCAUUGGAAAAUCUGCAGGAUGGAUUAGGCUAUUUAUAAUUUUUAUCAUGUUGCCUAGUCUUAUUAAUGAAUUAGUAAAACAUUCACCACAACUUACUGUACCUGUAGUUCUGUAAACAUCCUCCUUGAUUAUAUGACAGGUUGAGGGCCAGGAGAUGUGGACAGCGAGUAACUUGAAGCUCUCAACCCGCUUCACUACAGCCCUGUCGAUAUGAAUGGGGGUGUACUUGGCCCAAUUUUUCAGUUUUUGAUUUGUUAAAAAAGUUUGAAAUAUCCAAUAAAUGUCGUUUCACUUCA